AGCACGCAUGACGGGUGUUCGAGGUUUCACUGCAAAGUAAACCUCGUUCUGAGAAUUACCGUUAGAACUUGAUCUGGACAAUACCAGCGAAAGGACAUGCCUGCCUCAUUUU
rnacentral:ncRNA from 1 species